AUUAUUAUUCACUUUUUUACAAUUGAGCACACGCUUCUUAACCCUUUUCUGUCUAAACUAAAUAUAAAUUAAAUUUAUAAUGAAAUGAAAUCAAACAUUCUAUUAUUGAUGGCCAUUAUCAAAGGCAAACUCAAUGUAGAAAGAUAAGGCUGGCAGUAGCAGCGGCGCAGCAGCAACGCUGGCGAUGUGGACACGCACAUGCGUGCGAGCCGCAGCAGUUCAGUGAGGUAGCCGUCACGCACACGUGAGAUUUUCAGUGAUUCAGUUCAGAUGAGAUUUUCAGUGACUCAUUUCAGAACAACGUUAGGAUGUGAAGCCUGAGUUGACGGAUACCGACAGCCUACAGACGCAGCUAGCAGCUGCUCAUCCCUCCUGUCUACACCCACCGUUCUAAAUUUAACAUAGGGCCUAUAUUACACUAGGUGAAAUAAAAUAAAAACGUCUCGUUUAAGUGUUUUACGCCCAUGUUGCUGUAGCCUAAUCGGUCUCAAUCUGUUUACCUAUGAUGGCAAGUCGUUCUGACAAAUCAUUAACUCGCGGAGCGGUUUCUGUUUCCGGAUAUCAUGUAUGUGGCAACAUGUAUGUUUACUGUGUCGUUUACAUGCAGUUCGUGUCUCUGUAAAUGUGUUCACUCGUUGAGCGUUCGCCAGAAUAUAGGCCUAAUAUAAAAUAAAAAAAUAAAAUAAAAAACCUAUUCACAGCUAUAAAGUUCCAUGGUACUAUCCGAAACUCUAUAACAAGGUCAAAGCUUCCACUCAUAACAGGUAGGGUCGCUCAACACUGUCCGCAGCGUCCGCGGUCAGAGGC